rnacentral:rRNA from 1 species
UACGUAGGGUGCAAGCGUUAAUCGGAAUUACUGGGCGUAAAGCGUGCGCAGGCGGUUAUGCAAGACAGAGGUGAAAUCCCCGGGCUCAACCUGGGAACUGCAUUUGUGACUGCAUGGCUAGAGUGCGGCAGAGGGGGAUGGAAUUCCGCGUGUAGCAGUGAAAUGCGUAGAUAUGCGGAGGAACACCGAUGGCGAAGGCAAUCCCCUGGGCCUGCACUGACGCUCAUGCACGAAAGCGUGGGGAGCAAACAGG